UACGUAGGGGGCAAGCGUUGUCCGGAUUCAUUGGGCGUAAAGAGCUCGUAGGCGGUUCAGUAAGUCGGGUGUGAAAGCUCCGAGCUCAACUCGGAGAGGCCACCCGAUACUGCUGUGACUUGAGUCCAGUAGAGGAGCGUGGAAUUCCUGGUGUAGCGGUGAAAUGCGCAGAUAUCAGGAGGAACACCAGCAGCGAAGGCGGCGCUCUGGGCUGGAACUGGCGCUGAGGAGCGAAAGCGUGGGUAGCAAACAGG
rnacentral:rRNA from 1 species